rnacentral:rRNA from 1 species
UACGGAGGGUGCAAGCGUUGUCCGGAUUUAUUGGGUUUAAAGGGUGCGUAGGUGGGCAGGUAAGUCAGUGGUGAAAUCUUUGGGCUUAACCCGAAAACUGCCAUGAUACUAUUUGUCUUGAAUAUUGUGGAGGUCGGCGGAAUAUGUCAUGUAGCGGUGAAAUGCUUAGAUAUGACAUAGAACACCAAUUGCGAAGGCAGCUGGCUACACAUAUAUUGACACUGAUGCACGAAAGCGUGGGGAUCAAACAGG